UCCCGCUUAGCUCAGCUGGUAGAGCGCGUCACUAGUAUCCCCGGACACGAGAUGACGAGGUCAGUCGUUCAAGUCGGCUAGCGGGAA